AUCGAACGCUGGCGGCAGGCCUAACACAUGCAAGUCGAGCGAGCGGCGGACGGGUGAGUAAUGUCUGGGAAACUGCCUGUUGGAGGGGGAUAACUACUGGAAACGGUAGCUAAUACCGCAUACCAUCAGAUGUGCCCAGAUGGGAGUAGCUAGUGGGUGGGGUAAUGGCUCACAUAGGCGACGAUCCCUAGCUGGUCUGAGAGGGUGACCAGCCACACAGGAACUGAGAGACGGACCAUACUCCUACGGGAGGCAGCAGUGGGGAAUAUUGGGCAAUGGGCGAAAGCCUGAUGCAGCCAUGCCGCGUGUGUGAAGAAGGCCUUCGGGUUGUAAAGCGCUUUCAGCUGGUAGGCGUUACCCGCAGAAGAAGCACCGGCUAACUCCGUGCCAGCAGCCGCGGUAAUAC
rnacentral:rRNA from 1 species